rnacentral:rRNA from 1 species
AUCAACUUUCGAUGUAGGAUAGAGGCCUACCAUGGUGGUAACGGGUAACGGGGUGUUAGGGCACGACACCGGAGAGGGAGCCUGAGAAACGGCUACCACAUCCAAGGAUGGCAGCAGGCGCGCAAAUUACCCAAUCCCGACACGGGGAGGUAGUGACAAUAAAUAACAAUACGGGGUUCUUUCGGAUUUCGUAAUUGGAAUGAGUACAAUUUAAAUCUCUUAACGAGGAACAAUUGGAGGGCAAGUCUGGUGCCAGCAGCCGCGGUAAUUCCAGCUCCAAUAGCGUAUAUUAAAGUUGCUGCAGUUAAAAAGCUCGUAGUUGAAUUUCGGGACCAAUAUGUCGGUCGUGCCUCGGUACGUACUGGCAUCGUUGGUUUCUCCCUUCUGACGAACCAUGAUGUCAUUUAUUUGGUGUCGUGGGGAAUCAGGACUGUUACUUUGAAAAAAUUAGAGUGUUUAAAGCUGGCUCACGCUUGAAUACAUUAGCAUGGAAUAAUGAGAUAGGACGUUUGAUUCUAUUUUGUUGGUUUCUAGGAUCGACGUAAUGAUUAAUAGGGAUAGUUGGGGGCAUUAGUAUUCAAUUGUCAGAGGUGAAAUUCUUGGAUUUAUUGAAGACUAACUACUGCGAAAGCAUUUGCCAAGGAUGUUUUCAUUAAUCAAGAACGAAAGUUAGGGGAUCGAAGACGAUCAGAUACCGUCGUAGUCUUAACCAUAAACUAUGCCGACUAGGGAUCGGAUGAUGUUAAUUUUUUAAUGACUCAUUCGGCGCCUUACGGGAAACCAAAGUGUUUGGGUUC